UUCCACAUGAUCGCAUGUGAUUGUGGGAAAGAUUCUAUCGGCGUGGGAUGGGGUCGCGUCCUAUCAGCUUGUUGGUGAGGUAACGGCUCACCAAGGCUUCGACGGGUAGCCGGCCUGAGAGGGCGACCGGCCACAUUGGGACUGAGAUACGGCCCAGACUCCUACGGGAGGCAGCAGUGGGGAAUAUUGCACAAUGGGCGCAAGCCUGAUGCAGCGACGCCGCGUGAGGGAUGGAGGCCUUCGGGUUGUAAACCUCUUUUGUUUGGGAGCAAGCCUUCGGGUGAGUGUACCUUUCGAAUAAGCGCCGGCUAACUACGUGCCAGCAGCCGCGGUAAUACGUAGGGCGCAAGCGUUAUCCGGAUUUAUUGGGCGUAAAGGGCUCGUAGGCGGCUCGUCGCGUCCGGUGUGAAAGUCCAUCGCUUAACGGCGGAUCUGCGCCGGGUACGGGCGGG
rnacentral:rRNA from 1 species